rnacentral:rRNA from 1 species
AUUGAACGCUGGCGGCAUGCCUUACACAUGCAAGUCGAACGGCAGCGCGGGAGCAAUCCUGGCGGCGAGUGGCGAACGGGUGAGUAAUAUAUCGGAACGUGCCCAGUAGUGGGGGAUAGCCCGGCGAAAGCCGGAUUAAUACCGCAUGAGACCUGAGGGUGAAAGCGGGGGAUCGCAAGACCUCGCGCUAUUGGAGCGGCCGAUAUCAGAUUAGCUAGUUGGUGGGGUAAAGGCCUACCAAGGCAACGAUCUGUAGUUGGUCUGAGAGGACGACCAGCCACACUGGGACUGAGACACGGCCCAGACUCCUACGGGAGGCAGCAGUGGGGAAUAUUGGACAAUGGGGGCAACCCUGAUCCAGCCAUGCCGCGUGAGUGAAGAAGGCCCUCGGGUUGUAAAGCUCUUUUGUCCGGAAAGAAAAGCAAUCGGUUAAUACCCGGUUGUUCUGACGGUACCGGAAGAAUAAGCACCGGCUAACUUCGUGCCAGCAGCCGCGGUAAAG